AGGUGACGCCUGUGGAACGAGCGGCGGACGGGUGAGUAACACGUGGGCAACCUGCCUGUAAGAUUGGGAUAACCCCGGGAAACCGGGGCUAAUACCGGAUAAUACUUUUCGUUGCAUAACGAGAAGUUGAAAGGCGGCUUUUAGCUGUCACUUACAGAUGGGCCCGCGGCGCAUUAGCUAGUUGGUAAGGUAACGGCUUACCAAGGCGACGAUGCGUAGCCGACCUGAGAGGGUGAUCGGCCACACUGGGACUGAGACACGGCCCAGACUCCUACGGGAGGCAGCAGUAGGGAAUCUUCCGCAAUGGACGAAAGUCUGACGGAGCAACGCCGCGUGAGUGAUGAAGGUUUUCGGAUCGUAAAACUCUGUUGUCAGGGAAGAACAAGUGCCGUUCAAAUAGGGCGGCACCUUGACGGUACCUGACCAGAAAGCCCCGGCUAACUACGUGCCAGCAGCCGCGGUAAUACGUAGGGGGCAAGCGUUGUCCGGAAUUAUUGGGCGUAAAGCGCGCGCAGGCGGUCCUUUAAGUCUGAUGUGAAAGCCCACGGCUUAACCGUGGAGGGCCAUUGGAAACUGGAGGACUUGAGUACAGAAGAGGAGAGUGGAAUUCCACGUGUAGCGGUGAAAUGCGUAGAGAUGUGGAGGAACACCAGUGGCGAAGGCGACUCUCUGGUCUGUAACUGACGCUGAGGUGCGAAAGCGUGGGGAGCGAACAGGAUUAGAUACCCUGGUAGUCCACGCCGUAAACGAUGAGUGCUAGGUGUUAGGGGGUUUCCGCCCCUUAGUGCUGAAGUUAACGCAUUAAGCACUCCGCCUGGGGAGUACGGCCGCAAGGCUGAAACUCAAA
rnacentral:rRNA from 1 species